AUCAACAUGAACAUAUAGGAUCCCAAGUACCUACAAAAAUUCAUAUUCUGUAGUUACAAAGAACCUCACUCAAGAUAAUGGUAGCUGUUAUGAUGGUAUACCAGAAAAGGAUUUGUUUUCAUUUUUCUCUAACUUUUCUUAUUUACGUUCUAUCAGAGUCUUGCAAGUCAAACAGUAUUAUUCUCAUUUUACAGAUGAAGAAACUUGGAUCAGAUGUCAUUACAAGAGUAGAGGAGCAGGCAUUCAAACUUCAGGUCAUCUGUCUCCAUGGUUCUGAAGCCUUUAUUAUUUGACGUGUUGUGGAGAUUAUGCAAGAUACUGCACAUGAACGCAGAAUGCCUGGCACAUAGACUAGCAAUAAAAACUUUCACAGGUAACAACCAGCACCAUAUUGAAGAGACAGAUGGAAGGUCACAAAUCUCCAUGAAGGAUGCAAGACCAAAACCAUAGCUCAGACCUACUCACUCAGCAGAUCGUUUCCUUCUUGUUUCAACAUCAUCCAAAGUGGAUCCUUAAGCAGGCUAGAGCUGGACUUAGAAACCUUCAGAAUAUAAAACUUAUACCACUGGCAAGGCUGAUCUCGGGGAGGCGACCUCUGGAUGCGCCCUGUGCGAGCAAAGCCGGGAGAGCGAGCCCCAAGCACCUGGCAGCGGUGCCCCCAGCAGGCGCCGAGAGAUCCGGCUAUCCAUUUCUGGUGAACUCUGCGCCCACUGAGGCAUUCGAGGUACGGAUGUGUCCGCCUAGUACUCGGAGACGAAGGAGAGAGAGCGGGGAUAUGCGCUCCAGCUCUGCUAGGCUCCAGGGCUCUCACCCUUGCAUUCAAAGCCUCCACCCCAUCCCACUCCCCGCCACUCACCUUCUGCUUCGGCCACCCGGUGCGGCUCCAGCACCGCGCGCUCUCCCGGCACGGUUCCCGGAGAAAGUCCCCCAAUCACCAGCUACGGCACUUGUAGCCUCUGCACGCCGCUCGGCUCCGCCGGGUGGGCAGCGCCCGCCNNNNNNNNNNNNNNNNNNNNAAGCCUAGAGUGGAGUUCCCUGUAUGCUACAGGUGUGGCCACAAGACUGUGAAAAGGAAAGUAUAUUCGACUUCAAAUGUGCCAGAUAAUUUGCAUAUUUUGUCUUUUUAAUAGUCAAAACAAAUCUUCCAAGUAGAUUUUAUUAAUCCUCAUUUUACAGAUGUGGAAACAGGCUCAGAGAGGGCAAGUGCCUCAUCCACAGUUACCAACAGCAGCUUCUGAAAUUGCAUCCAGGAGUCAGAUUCGAAAGUCAUUGCGUGUCUCACAAAAUCAGAAGAAAUAUGACCAUAAGGGGUAAGAGAUUGUCCCAUGUACCAACACAUCCCCUGUAUUUAGCACAGUGGUAUUCGUUGAAUGUAUGAAUAAUAAUGACUCAAAAUAACAGUUAACAUAAAUAGCGCUUAUUAUUGCCAGGCUCUCUUCUAAGCACUAUAGAUACAUUAUCUCAUUUAAUGGUCACAAUUUAUUGUUAAAGUACUGUUAAAAAAAAAAAUCCUCAUUUUAACAGAAGGCGAAACUGAGUUACAAAGUAGAAUAAUUUGCCCAAUGUCACACAACUAAUACUUAGCAGAGGUGGGGGGGGGAUGAACACCAACAGAUUCUAAGCGUUAUACUAUAUGGAAUGAAUGGAAGAAAGACCAGAAGGCCAGAAUAAAAGGGGUCAGGAAUAAAGGAAAUCUGAAGGUUGAAUCUUCUGAGUUGUGACUCUUAGGAUAGGACAAGGUAACUGUGUCACCAGCCUCUUUCAACCAGAGUGGACUGCAAUAGCCAACAGCCACUGAAAGCCCAGGAUAUGUGUAGCUUGUAGAUAAUCUCCAGUUUUCCAGCAUCCUGUUGGGACAAUUCUAGGGGAGCAAAAAAGGAUUAUAGUAUGGAUGGGCUGGGCACGAUGGCUCACGCCAGUAAUGCCAGCAAUUUGGGAGGCCGAGGCGGGCAGAUCACGAGGUCAGAAAAUCGAGACCAUCCUGGCCAACAUAGUGAAACCCUGUCUCUACUAAAAUAGAAAAAAUUAGCCGGGCGUGGUGGCGCGUGCCUGUACUCCCAGCUACUCAGGAGGCUGAGGCAGGGGAAUCGCUUGAAGCCGGAGGCGGAGGUUGCAGUGAGCAGAGAUCGUGCCACUGCACCACUCCAGCCUGGCGACAAAGCAAGACUCCGUCCCAAAAAAAAAGAAAAAAGAAAAAAGGGAUUAGGGAUUAUAGUAUGUAUUACGACAUUUUGCUUGUAGCUCACAUAAAUACUGUGGUUGCUUGCUUUCAAAAGAGAGAUCGAUCUCCUUUAAUGACAAUUAUGUUGGUAUUUCAUUACAUUGGAUAGAAUCUAUAGUCACAUGAUUACAGGAGUUCACAAUGCUCCCUCUUUAAAAUUCUUUUUCCCCCAUAUGAUUAUAUUUGUAGCCAGUGAGGCCCAUUUGUUGGUAAACAUGACAGAUGUAUUAUGACUUCUCCUUUGCUUACUACACGGUUCUCCAGCAUGAAUAUCUCUCCUCCACUGCCCUAUUCCAUCCACACUUCAAGGACUAGUUUGUCAAGCCAAAUCUACAGGGAUGCAUCCAGUUCUUAGUACUACAUAUGCAAAAAGAAAUAAAGAGAGAAACUAAGAUGUAGAAGGAACUUGAAUUUAUGUUGACGAGGAAAAACUUAGGAACUUAGGCUAUUUAGCCAUAGGAGAAUACUGAGAGGAAACAAUAAACUAGCUUCAAAUAUUCUGAAGUUUCUAAAAAUAGAAGAAGAAUUCUAUAGUAUAUUUAAAAGGGUAAAAGCAGAACAAAUAACAAUAAUACUUUUUUGUUAGUG
rnacentral:lncRNA from 1 species